rnacentral:rRNA from 1 species
GGGGGUUAGCGUUGUUCGGAAUUACUGGGCGUAAAGCGUACGUAGGCGGGUUGUUAAGUUAGAGGUGAAAUCCCAGGGCUCAACCCUGGAACUGCCUUUAAUACUGGCAACCUAGAGUUCGAGAGAGGUGAGUGGAAUUCCGAGUGUAGAGGUGAAAUUCGUAGAUAUUCGGAGGAACACCAGUGGCGAAGGCGGCUCACUGGCUCGAUACUGACGCUGAGGUACGAAAGUGUGGGGAGCAAACAGGAUUAGAUACCCUGGUAGUCCACACCGUAAACGAUGAAUGCCAGUCGUCGGGUAGCGUGCUGCUCGGUGACACACCUAACGGAUUAAGCAUUCCGCCUGGGGAGUACGGUCGCAAGAUUAAAACUCAAAUGAAUUGACGGGGGCCCGCACAAGCGGUGGAGCAUGUGGUUUAAUUCGAUGCAACGCGAAGAACCUUACCUACUCUUGACAUACUAGAAACUUUUCAGAGAUGAAUUGGUGCCUUCGGGAAUCUAGAUACAGGUGCUGCAUGGCU